rnacentral:rRNA from 1 species
GCAUAUCAAUAAGCGGAGGAAAAGAAACUAACAAGGAUUCCCCUAGUAGCGGCGAGCGAAGCGGGAAGAGCUCAAAUUUAUAAUCUGGCACCUUCGGUGUCCGAGUUGUAAUCUCUAGAAAUGUUUUCCGCGCUGGACCGCACACAAGUCUGUUGGAAUACAGCGGCAUAGUGGUGAGACCCCCGUAUAUGGUGCGGACGCCCAGCGCUUUGUGAUACAUUUUCGAAGAGUCGAGUUGUUUGGGAAUGCAGCUCAAAUUGGGUGGUAAAUUCCAUCUAAAGCUAAAUAUUGGCGAGAGACCGAUAGCGAACAAGUACCGUGAGGGAAAGAUGAAAAGCACUUUGGAAAGAGAGUUAACAGUACGUGAAAUUGUUGGAAGGGAAACGCUUGAAGUCAGACUUGCUUGCCGAGCAAUCGGUUUGCAGGCCAGCAUCAGUUUUCCGGGAUGGAUAAUGGUAGAGAGAAGGUAGCAGUUUCGGCUGUGUUAUAGCUCUCUGCUGGAUACAUCUUGGGGGACUGAGGAACGCAGUGUGCCUUUGGCGGGGGUUUCGACCUCUUCACACUUAGGAUGCUGGUGGAAUGGCUUUAAACGACCCGUCUUGAAACACGGACCAAGGAGUCUAACAUGCUUGCGAGUAUUUGGGUGUCAAACCCGGAUGCGUAAUGAAAGUGAAUGGAGGUGGGAACCGCAAGGUGCACCAUCGACCGAUCUGGAUUUUUAAUGAUGGAUUUGAGUAAGAGCACGUAUGUUGGGACCCGAAAGAUGGUGAACUAUGCCUGAAUAGGGCGAAGCCAGAGGAAACUCUGGUGGAGGCUCGUAGCGGUUCUGACGUGCAAAUCGAUCGUCCAAUUUGGGUAUA